rnacentral:rRNA from 1 species
UACGGGGGGGGCAAGCGUUGUUCGGAAUUACUGGGCGUAAAGGGCUCGUAGGCGGCCAACUAAGUCAGACGUGAAAUCCCUCGGCUUAACCGGGGAACUGCGUCUGAUACUGGAUGGCUAGAGAUUGGGAGAGGGAUGCGGAAUUCCAGGUGUAGCGGUGAAAUGCGUAGAUAUCUGGAGGAACACCGGUGGCGAAGGCGGCAUCCUGGACCAACACUGACGCUGAGGCGCGAAAGCUAGGGGAGCAAACGGG